CGGAGCGUAGCGCAGCCUGGUAGCGCACCUCGUUCGGGACGAGGGGGUCGGAGGUUCGAAUCCUCUCGCUCCGA
rnacentral:tRNA from 1 species